rnacentral:rRNA from 1 species
AGUGAACGCUGGCGGUAGGCCUAACACAUGCAAGUCGAACGGCAGCACAGUAAGAGCUUGCUCUUACGGGUGGCGAGUGGCGGACGGGUGAGGAAUACAUCGGAAUCUACUUUUUCGUGGGGGAUAACGUAGGGAAACUUACGCUAAUACCGCAUACGACCUACGGGUGAAAGCAGGGGAUCUUCGGACCUUGCGCGAAUGAAUGAGCCGAUGUCGGUUUAGCUAGUUGGCGGGGUAAAGGCCCACCAAGGCGACGAUCCGUAGCUGGUCUGAGUGGAGGAUCAGCCACACUGGAACUGAGACACGGUCCAGACUCCUACGGGAGGCAGCAGUGGGGAAUAUUGGACAAUGGUCGCAAGCCUGAUCCAGCCAUACCGCGUGGGUGAAGAAGGCCUUCGGGUUGUAAAGCCCUUUUGUUGGGAAAGAAAAGCAGCAGGUUAAUACCCCGCUGUUCUGACGGUACCCAAAGAAUAAGCACCGGCUAACUUCGUG